rnacentral:rRNA from 1 species
GACGAACGCUGGCGGCGUGCUUAACACAUGCAAGUCGAACGGAAAGGCCCUGCUUUUGUGGGGUGCUCGAGUGGCGAACGGGUGAGUAACACGUGAGUAACCUGCCCUUGACUUUGGGAUAACUUCAGGAAACUGGGGCUAAUACCGGAUAGCAGCUCCCGCUGCAUGGUGGGGGUUGGAAAGUUUCGGCGGUGGGGGAUGGACUCGCGGCUUACCAGCUUGUUGGUGGGGUAGUGGCUUACCAAGGCAUUGACGGGUAGCCGGCCUGAGAGGGUGACUGGCCGCAUUGGGACUGAGGUACGGCCCAGACUCCUACGGGAGGCAGCAGGGGGGAAUAUUGAACAAUGGGCGGAAGCCUGAUGCAGAAACGCCGCGUGCGGGAUGACGGCCUUCGGGUUGUAAACCGCUUUCGCCUGAGACGAAGCGUGAGUGACGGUAAUGGGUAAAGAAGCACCGGCUAACUACGUG